AUAAAAGUUUACCUAUUUCAGCAUGACCUCUCCAAAACACAUUGCAGUGAUCUGUGUGUGUUCCUCCCUGACAGCAAGUACAACCCAUUGUAACCCAGUUGAUGGGAACUGUUUAAACACACUCCACCACAAGCAUUGGAGAUUCCAGGCAUUCUCGUUUCAUACAUUAGGCCUACAUUAAAGGAGUGGUACAUCGCCUAUGGUAUGUUACAAUUCAGCUGCAUCCAGCAUCCAGUGGUGUCGACAAGCAUUGGAGUGAAACCAUACAUAAUGAGCUUUAUUUGAAAUCACAUGGUAAUGGUUGUGUUAUGCAGAGCACUGAUGUGACUAAAAGAGAAAGCCAAAUAGUGAUCAGAGUUACCUGCCAAAAGGGAAACCCUUGCACAACUCUAAGAUAAAUUGCAAGUAGAAUGCCAACUGCAAAGAAACAAGCUAGUAGCUCUAAAAUUGAUAUUGAUUUUGCAAGGUAGAAUCUCAUUAAGGGAGAGUUAUACAGUAAUGUAAUUGCAGUGGUCAACAUUUAUUUACAAAACUGGAAGCAUUACAAGAAUGUAGUGUUUGUUUGUGUUCGACCAGAAAUGACAAACAACAUUAGUCCACUCCGUCUAACAAUACUACUGGCCUCAUGUUGAACUCCAAACCAAGAGCAUUCCCUGGAGGGCAUUAUUAGAAUAUGUUGACCAUACCAUGAAUCAACUACUACAAAUAUAUUAUUGACAGGUGGACCUUGCACUUUCCACGCAGACAUAUCAAUCAUUAAUUGUAAACAAACGUAAGGAAAUUUGAGGGGGUCCAGAUUAAAAGGAUGAUCUAUACAUUUGAACUAAUGAAUCCUGGUAUUAUCAGUCUACAAUUACUUCACAGCAGAUUGAGUGUAAAUCAGUCAACACAUACUACAGAGGAAGAUUGAUGACAAAUUAUGCAUUUUCUACCUCAAAAUAUAGGGAGUAUAACAGUAAAAUUAAAAAAAGUCAUUAAUAUGCAUUGAUCAUUUAAGUGCAUUCUGAAUAACACAUACAACUAUAAAAUAAUAUGAAAACCAUUAUUAUAUUUUAAAAGUCUUUGAAUUAGUCCGUAAUAAAACACAAUUAUGCAAACCAGCCAUCCAUUUCAUACAAAAUACAGAUGGACAAUGAACAAAGAUCGGCUGCAGCAGAAAUCAACAUGGAACACGGAAAAUAGAUCAAAUCAAUAAAAUAACUUCAACCAAAAUAAUAUAGUGGUUUCAAGCUUAAAAUGUUGUGAACUUUGCAUGCGUUUGUGUGAGCAUGUGCCUGGGUGUGCAUGUGUGUGCUUGCAUGUCAUUUUGUGUGUGGCUGUGGUAUCAGACAUCCAUUCCAGACACAUUAAUUUAAAAUAAUUGUAUGGUAAACAAGUUGUAGUGAUUUGGCAGAAGUUAAACUGAUCACAGUAACUGAAACAGUAAAACAAUAGAUGGGUCGUUCCACGAAAUGAGUGCCUUUUGCGUCCCUUUGAUAUUUUAAGAAUAAACUAUGACAAAUAAUUAAUUUUAACAGUUAUAUUCAAUUAAGUGCCCUUUAAUAUAGACCACACAGACAAUUCAAUAAAUCAGAUAAGUAAAGACUCUAAACGUCCCUCCGUGUACCCUCUGUGACUUCUAGGAAGAUUAACCCACUUAACCCCAACACUUCUCCAAGUUUUCACCAUCAUUGUAAAGCCCUAGCUAUUUUGUUGCUUUGACAGUCAUUUCUGAAGAUAAUUUUGUCCAUUUUCUGGUGUUUUGUGGUGGAAAACUGAGUGGGUCGAGAACAACACGUCAACCCUGUUACCCACAUAUAGACAGCGUACAUUUUUUUAAACAAUUACAUUUUUGGGGUGAAGCUUGCAUUCAAUUGCCACUCUGUUGCACACAACACCCUUAUAUUCCCCAUCACAAGGGGAUUUGCAGCUGAUUUACAGUGGCAAGAAAAAGUAUGUGAACCCUUUGGAAAUACCUGGAUUUCUGCAUAAACUGGUCAUAAAAUGUAAUCUGAUCUUCAUCUAGGUCACAACAAUAGACAAACACAGUCUGCUUAAACAAAUAACACACAAACUAUGAUAUGUUUUCAUGUCUUUAUUGAACACACCGUGUAAACAUUCACAGUGCAGUGAACCCUCCACACAUAGUGUUGUAUGUUCCUUUCAAACAAAUCCACUGUAGUUUAUUCUGUCCACAGAAUAUUUAGCCAGUAGCGCUGUGGAACAUCCAGGUGCACUUUUGGAAACAUAAGACGCGCAGCAAUGUUUUUUUUUGACAGCUGACUCCAUUAGCCUAGGAGUUCACAUACUUUUCCAACCUAUACUGUGAAUGUUUAAAUGAUGUAUUCAAUAUAGGCAAGAAAAAUACAAUAAUUUGUGUGUUAUUAGUUUAAGCACACUAUGUUUGUCUAUUGUUGUGACUUAGAUGAAGAUCAGAUCAAAUUUGAUGACCAAUUUAUGCAGAAAUCCAGGUAAUUCCAAAGGGUUCACAUACUUUUUCUUGCUACUGUAAGAUUAAAUUGUCAACCCUGUUACUUUAUUUGGCACUUAAUAGGCGCUUUCUAUAGUAUUUUUUUUAUUUAACCUCUUGAGAUGGGAAAAUGUGUUUUUUAUUAGGUUGAACAUGUGCUCUUUAUGACAGAAUGUUAAAAUUAGGUGAAUGCAUCAUUAAAAACAAAAUAACAUUCAGCCAGUUCCCCUGAACAAGAGAAAUCUCUAUUAGCACAAUCCUCAACUCUCUAAAAACACAUGAACAAAUAUUUGAAUCUUUGAGGAGCUACUUUAAAGGACUAGCCCAUAGUUUAUGGAAUAAAGCACUUCAUGAUAACAACGUAGCUGCGUACCACAGGCAAUACACAUCAGAAAUGAAAACAGACUACAUAACUGCCAGCUAUCAUGGUGUCCUGACUUAAUGUCCGGUAGAGUAGGGACUAACCUUACAGUUGAACCAUAAUAAGUUUGUCCAUUACAUGGGCCCACCCCAUAAUAUGUCAAUGUACAACCCGCCAGAGAGUAUACCCAGCAGAGUGGAGUAGCAGGCAGGCAAAGCCCAGUGAUAAUCAGUAUUCAGCAGCAUGUAGAUGUUAUACUUUAGAGUCUGCGGGAAUCCAAGGUAGAGGUCCGAUGGGGAGGGAGGGCAUUUCCAUUUUUCAUACUGACCUGAUGGGCUCCCAGCCUGAAUCUGGCCCCACUGGUCUUUUACAUGAUCUUAUUGAUUUAAGCUGAGUUAUAACCAUAGUGAUGGAAGGAGGUUAGGAAAAGAGACCUCAGCGUGGCAUUUUUUUUUACGUAGACUGUUCGAGGGAUGAGCUGGGAUAGUAUGUACAGUGCAUUCAGAAAGUAUUCACACCCCUUUACUUUUUCCACAUUUUGUUGUCAGAGCCUGAAUUAAAAAUAGGUUACAUUUAGAUUUUGUGUCACUGAUGCACACACAAUACCCCAUAAUGUCAAAGUGGAUUUGUUUUUGAAUAAUUAUUUUUGAAAUUAAUAAAAAAUGUAAAGCUGAAAUGCCUUGAGUCAAAUAAGUAUUCAACCCCUUUGUUAUGACAAGCCUGAAUAAAAAAAUAAAAAGCAGACGCUGCUAAAUAUCCCUUUGAGUAUGAUGAAGUUAUUAAUUAGGCUUUUGAUGAUGUAUUAAUACACUCAGUCACUAAAAUGAUACAGGUGUCCUUCCUAACUCAGCUGUAGGAGAGGAAGGAAACUACUCAGGGAUUUUUGUGAUUUUGGUUGUGAUAUGACAAAACUGACGAUGGAUCAACACCAUUAUACUCACUCCACAAUCCUAAACUAGUCUCUAUGGGGGUGCCACAGGGUUCCUUUUUCGGGCCGGCUCUUUUCUCUGUACAUAUCAAUGAUGUCGCUCUUGCUGCUGGUGAUUCUCUGAUCCACCUCUAGGCAGACAACACCCUUCUGUA
rnacentral:lncRNA from 1 species